rnacentral:rRNA from 1 species
GCCUACGACCAUAUCACCCUGAAUGCGCCCGAUCUCGUCUGAUCUCGGAAGCUAAGCAUGGUCGAGCCUGAUUAGUACUUUAAUGGGAGACUGCCUGGGAAUAGCAGGUGUUGUAGGAU